GCUACAGACAGAAAGAGGAAAGAGAAGAGAGGGUAAGAGCUGGACCCACAGAGGCCAGAGGAAGCCCUGCCUCCAGCCUCGUUUCCUACUUCAACCGUCUCCCCCUAUCCCAAGGCUCUAGCAUCUAGGCUACACCAGGCAACUAGGAAGUGCACUGGGGGUGCAAAGGCCAAAACAGUGACGUCCUGGUGCUGAGCAAAGCAAACUGGGAAGCCAAGGAGGAUGAGGGGAUGUGGUGGAGUGAGCCAGCCCAGUGUCCACUGGGCUGGGCUGGAGAAGCGGGUGAAGAAAGUCUGGACUGAUACGGGGGAAAGUUGGGAGAGAGUGAAGGCCUCCCCUUCACAAGACAAGGUGGCCAAUACUUUGAGCCCCUACCAGGAAGAGGAGGAAGUGCUACCCAGCAGAGACAAACCCCAGGUCAGCCUCUUCCCUCCCCUGCCAACAAGGACAAGGACACUGGACCCUGAGUUCUCUGCCAUCUCCAUGGUCCUGGGACAGCUCCAUCACAGCCACAUGUUUCAGGAAGCUCUGCUCAGCUCUGCCAUGGUGAGACUCAUAGCUCACAGUGAAUCCACAAAGGUUGGAUGAAAUCCCCUCUUCUGGGCGAUCCAUCCUCCAUUAAACUCCUUGGGACUGACCUCCCUCCAUAGCACCUCCAGGUCUUGUUGCUGACAUGCUGGCUGGGGAGGGGUCUUGGCAUCUCAUUCAAGGGACAUUAUUUUUUCCACCUCUACUCAGGAGCCCCAUGUGUAACCAUGCUCCUAAAAAGAUCAUCUGGAGAAUUCGGGACUGACAAGUCCAGACCUGGCAAGUCCCAGUUUGUGUUAGCUGGACCACGGAAGUCAUGGUAACAGAUUGGUGCUCAGGAUUCUCAAAGGUUGAAUGCCUGAGAUGGGGGAGGCAUGCAUGAAAAGAGGGUCUUGCUCCAGAGGAGAGUCUCAAGGGUACCUCUGAGGGUGAGAGGGCUGAGGAUGACCUUGACUCCUCCCUCCCUACCCUGCUUCCUCAGAUCUAUUGCAUGCUGGACAUCCAGGGCAUUAGCCUCUACCUGCUGCUGCCUUGGCUCACUGCUCAGGCACAGGUAUGGGCUCAUCACUCUGUGGGACAGUAGGAAGGGCUUUAGGACUCGGCCUGGGUGAAUUAAAGGAGACCCAUUCCUAUCCCACUCCAGGGCUCAGAUGGCUCAUUAUGAUACUUCUGUCAGCUUUAGCCGCUAAUAUCACCAGCCUGUAUAUCUCAGUCACCCCCACCAGUGGAGAGUCUCUUGUGACUCCAUGAUCUCUCAGGGCCCCCAGUCCCGUCGAGAGUUGCUGAGACUGACUGACUCUUCUCUCCUCUCUAGUGGCACCUACUUCCCUGUCUAGCACAGCCCGCGUUCUGAGUUUAGCAGUUCCAUGGAAGCAUCUUUGCUUUCUCCAAUGCAGUAGCCAUGGCUGUGUUUAUGGUAGGCUACCUGAAGACCCUUUGGACCUGUUCUGGAUAAAGCCCAUCUCCUUCCUUGCUGUGCCCUUUGCUCAAGUCCACUGACCAUCCAGCUUAUACUUUUGUGGCUUCAGCCGGGGCAAGUCAAUUUUUUUUUUAAUUGAGAAUAAUUGCUUUACAAUGUUGUGUCGAUUUCUGCCAUACAAUGAUGCGAAUCAGUAUAUAAAUACCCCCUCUCUUUGUAGCCUCCCUCCCACCCACUCCUUAUCCCACCCCUCUAGGUCAUCACAGUGCCCUGGGCAAUUCAUUUUAAGAAUUAGAUGGAGGCAUCAAAUCAGCCAAUAAAGUCUCUGUGACCCCCAACCUCUGUGUUCUGCCCUUCCAGGAGCAUGGAGCACAGCUACUAAACACGGAUCCUGUAAAUGAGUUUUGGGUGGUGGGCCUGGUGACUGUGACUAUCCUUCUGGGUGUGGCACUGGCAGGCAUGGAGUGGGAGUCCAAGGCAGGAGAAGGGGAAUUGAGUUGGGGGUGAAAAGACUAAGGGGAUAGCAGUGAGAGCUAGACAGAUCAGGAGCAGACUGGAUGUGGGGAGAUGUGUGUGUGUGUG